GGAGUUUGUGCUCGUCACCCUGAGCAAACUCUUCAGCACCUAUGCUCCGCAGUGCAUCCCCUUCGUGUGGCUGAUGCUGGCCGGCCUGCGCAGUGUGGUGGGCCAGGUGAGGAGUGGCCAGACCCUGCGCAUCGCUUGUGCUGUUGUGAAACAGUGGCUGGAUGGACUGAAGAUUCACUUGUCGUCUGGAAUGCAAU